rnacentral:rRNA from 1 species
GACGAACGCUGGCGGCGUGCUUAACACAUGCAAGUCGAACGCUGAAGCUCAGCUUUUGUUGGGUGGAUGAGUGGCGAACGGGUGAGUAACACGUGAGUAACCUGCCUCCUUCUUUGGGAUAACGCCCGGAAACGGGUGCUAAUACUGGAUAUUCACUGGUCUUCGCAUGGGGGUUGGUGGAAAGGGUUUUUCUGGUGGGGGAUGGGCUCGCGGCCUAUCAGCUUGUUGGUGGGGUGAUGGCCUACCAAGGCUUUGACGGGUAGCCGGCCUGAGAGGGUGACCGGUCACAUUGGGACUGAGAUGAGGCCCAGACUACUACGGGAGGCAGCAGUGGGGAAUAUUGCACAAUGGGCGCAAGCCUGAUGCAGCGACGCCGCGUGAGGGAUGGAGGCCUUCGGGUUGUGAACCUCUUUCGCUAAUGGUCAAGCCGCAACAAUGGUUGUGGUGAGGGUAGUGGGUAAAGAAGCGCCGGCUAACUACGUG